ACUCCUACGGGAGGCAGCAGUGGGGAAUAUUGGACAAUGGGGGCAACCCUGAUCCAGCGAUGCCGCGUGUGUGAAGAAGGCCUGCGGGUUGUAAAGCACUUUUAUUGGGGAAGAGUGGUGUGAGGAUGAAUAGUCUUCAUACUUGACGGUACCCAAGGAAUAAGCACCGGCUAACUCUGUGCCAGCAGCCGCGGUAAUACAGAGGGUGCGAGCGUUAAUCGGAAUUACUGGGCGUAAAGGGCGCGUAGGCGGGCUGAUAAGUCAGAUGUGAAAGUCCUGGGCUUAACCUGGGGAUUGCAUUUGAAACUGUUGGUCUGGAGUGAAGUAGAGGGUGGCGGAAUUUCCGGUGUAGCGGUGAAAUGCGUAGAUAUCGGAAGGAACACCAGUGGCGAAGGCGGCCACCUGGACUUUAACUGACGCUGAGGCGCGAAAGCGUGGGGGAGCGAACAGGAUUAGAUACCCUGUAGGCUCUG
rnacentral:rRNA from 1 species